GCUCCGGGUCGAGAGGACGAGGUGCCGCUGCCGCCGGCCCCGGAGCCCAGCCCUUUUCUAGCCCGGUCCAGUCCCAGCAGCCACCUCCUGACCCCGCCGUCGACCCCAUCGUUACCAUGAAUCCUACCGUCUUCCUGUCUUUACCAGACCUCAGAUGCUCCUUGCUACUCCUGAUGUUGCAUCCAAUUUUUGAGGAAGCAUCUGAUGUCAUUAAGGAAGAAUAUCCAGAUAAAAAUCAAGUAGUGUUUGCCAGAGUUGAUUGUGAUCAGCACUCUGAUAUAGCCCAGAGGUACAGGAUAAGCAAAUACCCAACCCUGAAAUUAUUUCGUAAUGGAAUGAUGAUGAAGAGAGAAUACAGGGGCCAGCGAUCAGUGAAAGCGCUUGCAGACUACAUCAGGCAACAGAAAAGUAACCC
rnacentral:lncRNA from 1 species